rnacentral:rRNA from 1 species
AUUGAACGCUGGCGGCAUGCUUUACACAUGCAAGUCGAACGGUAACAGGCCUUCGGGUGCUGACGAGUGGCGAACGGGUGAGUAAUGCAUCGGAACGUGCCCAGAGGUGGGGGAUAACGCAGCGAAAGCUGUGCUAAUACCGCAUGUGAUCUGAGGAUGAAAGCGGGGGACCAAGCAGCAAUGUUUGGCCUCGCGCCUCUGGAGCGGCCGAUGUCAGAUUAGGUAGUUGGUGGGGUAAAGGCCUACCAAGCCGACGAUCUGUAGCCGGUCUGAGAGGACGACCAGCCACACUGGGACUGAGACACGGCCCAGACUCCUACGGGAGGCAGCAGUGGGGAAUUUUGGACAAUGGGCGCAAGCCUGAUCCAGCAAUGCCGCGUGCGGGAAGAAGGCCUUCGGGUUGUAAACCGCUUUUGUACGGAACGAAAAGGCUCUGGCUAAUACCUGGGGCUGAUGACGGUACCAUAAGAAUAAGCACCGGCUAACUACGUG